rnacentral:rRNA from 1 species
CAAAUCAGGUAGGACUACCCGCUGAACUUAAGCAUAUCAAUAAGCGGAGGAAAAGAAACUAACAAGGAUUCCCCUAGUAACUGCGAGUGAAGCGGGAAAAGCUCAAAUUUAAAAUCUGGCGGUCUUUGGCCGUCCGAGUUGUAGUCUGGAGAAGUGCUUUCCGCGCUGGACCGUGUAUAAGUCUCUUGGAACAGAGCGUCAUAGAGGGUGAGAAUCCCGUCUUUGACACGGACUACCAGUGCUUUGUGAUGCGCUCUCGAAGAGUCGAGUUGUUUGGGAAUGCAGCUCAAAAUGGGUGGUGAAUUCCAUCUAAAGCUAAAUAUUGGCGAGAGACCGAUAGCGAACAAGUACCGUGAGGGAAAGAUGAAAAGCACUUUGGAAAGAGAGUUAAACAGUACGUGAAAUUGCUGAAAGGGAAACGCUUGAAGUCAGUCGCGUCGGCCGGAACUCAGCCUUGCUUUUGCUUGGUGCACUUUCCGGUUGACGGGUCAGCAUCGAUUUUGACCGUCGGAAAAGGGCUAGGGUAAUGUGGCACCUCCGGGUGUGUUAUAGACUCUAGUCGCAUACGGCGGUUGGGAUCGAGGAACGCAGCGCGCCGCAAGGCAGGGGUUCGCCCACUUUCGCGCUUAGGAUGCUGGCAUAAUGGCU